GUACCCUGGUAGUCCACGCUGUAAACGAUGUCGACUUGGAGGUUGUGCCCUUGAGGCGUGGCUUCCGGAGCUAACGCGUUAAGUCGACCGCCUGGGGAGUACGGCCGCAAGGUUAAAACUCAAAUGAAUUGACGGGGGCCCGCACAAGCGGUGGAGCAUGUGGUUUAAUUCGAUGCAACGCGAAGAACCUUACCUACUCUUGACAUCCACGGAAUUCGCCAGAGAUGGCUUAGUGCCUUCGGGAACCGUGAGACAGGUGCUGCAUGGCUGUCGUCAGCUCGUGUUGUGAAAUGUUGGGUUAAGUCCCGCAACGAGCGCAACCCUUAUCCUUUGUUGCCAGCACGUAAUGGUGGGAACUCAAAGGAGACUGCCGGUGAUAAACCGGAGGAAGGUGGGGAUGACGUCAAGUCAUCAUGGCCCUUACGAGUAGGGCUACACACGUGCUACAAUGGCAUAUACAAAGAGAAGCGAACUCGCGAGAGCAAGCGGACCUCAUAAAGUAUGUCGUAGUCCGGAUUGGAGUCUGCAACUCGACUCCAUGAAGUCGGAAUCGCUAGUAAUCGUAGAUCAGAAUGCUACGGUGAAUACGUUCCCGGGCCUUGUACACACCGCCCGUCACACCAUGGGAGUGGGUUGCAAAAGAAGUAGGUAGC
rnacentral:rRNA from 1 species